rnacentral:rRNA from 1 species
UGGGGAAUUUUGGACAAUGGGGGAAACCCUGAUCCAGCCAUCCCGCGUGUGCGAUGAAGGCCUUCGGGUUGUAAAGCACUUUUGGCAGGAAAGAAACGUCGUGGGUUAAUACCCCGCGAAACUGACGGUACCUGCAGAAUAAGCACCGGCUAACUACGUGCCAGCAGCCGCGGUAAUACGUAGGGUGCAAGCGUUAAUCGGAAUUACUGGGCGUAAAGCGUGCGCAGGCGGUUCGGAAAGAAAGAUGUGAAAUCCCAGAGCUUAACUUUGGAACUGCAUUUUUAACUACCGGGCUAGAGUGUGUCAGAGGGAGGUGGAAUUCCGCGUGUAGCAGUGAAAUGCGUAGAUAUGCGGAGGAACACCGAUGGCGAAGGCAGCCUCCUGGGAUAACACUGACGCUCAUGCACGAAAGCGUGGGGAGCAAACAGGAUUAGAUACCCUGGUAGUCCACGCCCUAAACGAUGUCAACUAGCUGUUGGGGUCUUCGGACCUUGGUAGCGCAGCUAACGUGUGAAGUUGACCGCCUGGGGAGUACGGUCGCAAGAUUAAAACUUAAAGGAAUUG